UACGUAGGGUGCGAGCGUUAAUCGGAAUUACUGGGCGUAAAGCGUGCGCAGGCGGUUUUGUAAGCCAGAUGUGAAAGCCCCGGGCUUAACCUGGGAAUGGCAUUUGGGACUGCAAGGCUUGAGUGCGGCAGAGGAGACUGGAAUUCCUGGUGUAGCAGUGAAAUGCGUAGAUAUCUGGAGGAACACCGGUGGCGAAGGCGGCAUCCUGGACCGGCAUUGACGCUGAGGAGCGAAAGCCACGGGAGCAAACGGG
rnacentral:rRNA from 1 species